GAUGAACGCUGGCGGCGUGCUUAACACAUGCAAGUCGAACGAAGCACUUUAUUUGAUUUCCUUCGGGACUGAUUAUUUUGUGACUGAGUGGCGGACGGGUGAGUAACGCGUGGGUAACCUGCCUUGUACAGGGGGAUAACAGUUGGAAACGGCUGCUAAUACCGCAUAAGCGCACAGCAUCGCAUGAUGCAGUGUGAAAAACUCCGGUGGUAUAAGAUGGACCCGCGUUGGAUUAGCUAGUUGGUGAGGUAACGGCCCACCAAGGCGACGAUCCAUAGCCGACCUGAGAGGGUGACCGGCCACAUUGGGACUGAGACACGGCCCAAACUCCUACGGGAGGCAGCAGUGGGGAAUAUUGCACAAUGGGCGAAAGCCUGAUGCAGCGACGCCGCGUGAGCGAAGAAGUAUUUUGGUAUGUAAAGCUCUAUCAGCAGGGAAGAUAAUGACGGUACCUGACUAAGAAGCACCGGCUAAAUACGUG
rnacentral:rRNA from 1 species